rnacentral:rRNA from 1 species
UACAGAGGGGGCAAGCGUUGUUCGGAAUUACUGGGCGUAAAGGGCGCGUAGGCGGCCUGCUAAGUCGGACGUGAAAUCCCUCGGCUCAACCGAGGAACUGCGUCCGAUACUGGUGGGCUUGAAUCCGGGAGAGGGAUGUGGAAUUCCAGGUGUAGCGGUGAAAUGCGUAGAUAUCUGGAGGAACACCGGUGGCGAAGGCGGCAUCCUGGACCGGCAUUGACGCUGAGGCGCGAAAGCCAGGGGAGCAAACGGG